rnacentral:ncRNA from 1 species
UUAUAGACGUUGAAGAGGAAUAGUAGUUUAGCAAAGCGUUUCAGAGAGAGAGCGGUUGGUGCGAGCUCUUACGAUAGCUAAGUGAACCUGCCUUGGAGUCCUGUGUGAAAACAUUUUUGCGAUGGUGCGUAAACACAGCGUUUCCCGCGUUAAGGGUGUCAAUGAAGUGAAAUCUGCUAAUUGGAUGCAGAUUUAAAUAGGGUGGUACCGCCGACUAGCCUUCGGUCCCUGUU